UGUGACGAUACAAGACUCCAUGAUGCAGC
rnacentral:piRNA from 1 species